UACGGAAGGUGCAAGCGUUAGUCGGAGUUAUUGGGCGUAAAGGGUGCGUAGGCGGUGUAAUAAGUUGGAUAUGAAAUUCCGGGGCUUAACCUCGGACCUAUAUCCAAAACUGUUACGCUUGAGGGAUGGCGGAGAAAACGGAAUUCCAUGUGUAGCGGUGAAAUGCGUAGAUAUAUGGAAGAACACCUGUGGCGAAAGCGGUUUUCUAGCUUCCCCCUGACGCUAAUGCACGAAAGCAAGGGGAUCAAAC
rnacentral:rRNA from 1 species